rnacentral:rRNA from 1 species
CCUACGGGAGACAGCAGUGGGGAAUAUUGGGCAAUGGGCGCAAGCCUGACCCAGCAACGCCGCGUGAAGGAAGAAGGCUUUCGGGUUGUAAACUUCUUUUGUCAGGGAAGAGUAGAAGACGGUACCUGACGAAUAAGCCACGGCUAACUACGUGCCAGCAGCCGCGGUAAUACGUAGGUGGCAAGCGUUGUCCGGAUUUACUGGGUGUAAAGGGCGUGUAGCCGGGUUGACAAGUCAGAUGUGAAAUCCUGCGGCUUAACCGCAGAACUGCAUUUGAAACUGUUGAUCUUGAGUACUGGAGAGGCAGACGGAAUUCCUAGUGUAGCGGUGAAAUGCGUAGAUAUUAGGAGGAACACCAGUGGCGAAGGCGGACGGCUGGACAGCAACUGACGGUGAGGCGCGAAAGCGUGGGGAGCAAACAGGAUUAGAUACCCCGGUAGUC